GAUGAACGCUGGCGGCGUGCCUAACACAUGCAAGUCGAGCGGACAGACGAGGCUUUUGCUUGGCUGACGUGAGGGGCGGGCGGGUGAGGCACACGAGUAUACCUUACAUUUGAGGCUGGGAUCAGGUAGCGAGAGCGGAUACAGCAUCGGAUAAGAUAUUGAACGGGGGGGAUCAUUAGAGAUAGAGGGUUUUGCUGACACUAAUAGAGGGUUCCGAGCCGCAUUAGCUAGUUGGUAAGGUAACGGCUUACCAAGGCUACGAUGCGUAGCCGACCUGAGAGGGUGAUCGGCCACACUGGAACUGAGACACGGUCCAGACUCCUACGGGAGGCAGCAGUAGGGAAUAUUCGGCAAUGGGCGAAAGCCUGACCGAGCAACGCCGCGUGUGUGAAGAAGGUCUUCGGAUCGUAAAGCUCUGUUAUUAGGGAGGAACAGAUGUAUAAGUAUAUCUGGACGUCUUGACGGUACCUACUCAAAAAGCACCGGCUAACUACGUG
rnacentral:rRNA from 1 species